rnacentral:rRNA from 1 species
GUACACUCCUACGGGAGGCAGCAGUGGGGAAUAUUGGACAAUGGGCGCAAGCCUGAUCCAGCCAUGCCGCGUGAGUGAUGAAGGCCCUAGGGUUGUAAAGCUCUUUCACCGGUGAAGAUAAUGACGGUAACCGGAGAAGAAGCCACGGCUAACUUCGUGCCAGCAGCCGCGGUAAUACGAAGGGGGCUAGCGUUGUUCGGAUUUACUGGGCGUAAAGCGCACGUAGGCGGACUAUUAAGUCAGGGGUGAAAUCCCGGGGCUCAACCCCGGAACUGCCUUUGAUACUGGUAGUCUUUAGUUCGAGAGAGGUGAUUGGAAUUCCGAGUGUAGAGGUGAAAUUCGUAGAUAUUCGGAGGAACACCAGUGGCGAAGGCGGCUCACUGGCUCGAUACUGACGCUGAGGUGCGAAAGCGUGGGGAGCAAACAGGAUUAGAUACCCUAGUAGUCCCA